UACGAAGGGGGCUAGCGUUGCUCGGAAUUACUGGGCGUAAAGCGCACGUAGGCGGAUCGUUAAGUCGGGGUGAAAUCCUGGAGCUCAACUCCAGAACUGCCUUCGAUACUGGCGAUCUCGAGUUCGGGAGAGGUGAGUGGAACUGCGAGUGUAGAGGUGAAAUUCGUAGAUAUUCGCAAGAACACCAGUGGCGAAGGCGGCUCACUGGCCCGAUACUGACGCUGAGGUGCGAAAGCGUGGGAGCGAACGAGGA
rnacentral:rRNA from 1 species